rnacentral:rRNA from 1 species
AUGCUUGUGCAUGCAAACAAUGGAAAGUUUGAUAACUGCUACAUGUCCUUAGAUGCAUGCAAAAGGGGUUUUCUGCUAGCUUGUAGGACCAUUAUAUGCAUUGAUGGGUGUCACAUUAAGAACAAGUAUGGUGGAGUGAUGCUGACAGCUGUUGGAGUUGAUCCUAACGAUUGUAUCUUUCCCAUUGCAAUUGCCAUAGUAGAAGUGGAAGAUACUGUCACAUGGAAGUGGUUUUUGAACACAUUGAAGGAGGAUCUGAACAUACAAAACACAGCACCAUGGACAUUGAUGAGUGAUAGGCAGAAUGUAGUAACAACAUUGUAG